rnacentral:rRNA from 1 species
UACGUAGGGGGCUAGCGUUGUCCGGAAUCAUUGGGCGUAAAGGGGGCGUAGGGGGUCUUGUAAGCCCGCUGGGAAAGUCAAAGGCUCAACCUUUGAAAGCCGGUGGAUACUGCAUGACUAGAGUACGGAAGAGGCGAGUGGAAUUCCUGGUGUAGCGGUGGAAUGCGCAGAUAUCAGGAGGAACACCAAUAGCGAAGGCAGCUCGCUGGGACGUUACUGACACUGAGGCACGAAAGCGUGGGGAGCGAACAGG